rnacentral:snRNA from 1 species
CAAUGUGAGGGUGAGCUGCCUGUGACAUCUUCACCCCAUUGAUCACCAGGGUUGAUUCAGCUGAUCUGGCUGGCUAGGCUGUGUCACCUACCUCCCUCAUUGCUCCAUAUGUGUCCCUCCCAAAGCUUCACACUCAGUCAAAGAGGACUAACUUCCACAAUAGAGGAAGACUGUUCUUGGGUCAACAGUAUUCAAAUAUCUAUUAUCUCCAUAGAACCUCCAAAGAAGUUCUCAAAGAGGAGACGGUAAGGUGAUUGAGCACCUUUUAUGCCCAUGUGUAUGUCCUCAAUUAGCUCAUCUGUCUU